ACGGACAAACCACACACGACACGCGCAGGAAAAAUAGCGAGAAACAAGUGGGGGGCAGCAGAUAAUCCCUCGUUUCACCCAUCUCUCCCCACCGGCGGCGGCGGCGGCGACCGGCGAGGAGUAGCCGGAAUCUCCCAAUCGCGAAUUUCCGCAGGCGGCCAUGGGCGGGCAUGGCGGCCUCAACAUCCUGCCGCAGAAGCGGUGGAACGUCUACAACUUCGACAACCGCGAGAAGGUCCGCAACGACGAGGCGACCGCCGCCCGCGAGGAGCAGCUCCAGCGCGAGGCCGAGCGCCGCCGCGAGUCGGACCUCCGCCUCGCCGCGCUCCGCCGCAACCGGGGCCUCGUCCAGGCGGAGCCGCCCUCUACCACCGCCCCGCCUGCUCCCGACGGCGCCGCGGCGGAGGGUCCGGCGGACGCCCUUCCGUCCCCGGUCUCCGACGGAGACCACAUCAACCUGUUUUCGGGGAGGUCCGGCCCCGCCGCCGACUUCGCCGCGCUCGCCUCGGCCAGCGGCGGGAGGGGCGCCGCGCGUGAGCGGGACCCCGACGCCAACCCUAACCAGAAGAACCCUAAGAAGAGGAAGGAGGAGGAGGAGGUCAGGGCGGUGGGGCCCGACGAGGAGAAGUACAGGUUGGGCUACGGCCUCGCCGGCAAGGGCGUCGCGGUGCCCUGGUACAUGUCGAGCCCGGCGGCUGCAGCAGCCAAGGAGGGCAGGGCCAGAGACGCAGGGGAAGGGAGCGGGGGAAAGAGGAGUGGAGGGAAGAAGAGCAUCGAGGAGCUGAGGGAGGAGAGAAGGAAGAGGGAGGCCAAGGAGAAGGAGCGUGAGCGUGCUGUGCUGGCUGCUGCGGGGAGGAAGGAGAGGCAGGCUGAUCGGGGGCGCCAGUCGAGAUGGGCUCGGUGAUGUGAGGAUUUUCAUGGUAUAAUGUGCAGGAUUGCAGAGAAUGCUUAUUGAAGGAUAACUCAUGGAACUGGAUAUGACCUGACUACGUUAUCAAGUAGAUGUAGAUGAUUGCAUGUGGCAGCAAGAAUUACACUGUUCAUUUGCCAAGGAAAGGAUACUCAGUGAGCAAUUAAAGAGUAUCUUGAUUAGUAACAGCAAGAUUUUUUUUUUUUUUUGACAAACCAAUUUAUGUGGGAUUCUCUUUUGUAAAAUACUCACGGUAAAUGCAGUGAAGCUAGCAGCUCAUGUAACACUAGAGAUGUUUGCUUGUAAAGCUAUUUACAUUUUCCUGAUGUAAAGACUUUGUUUGCUUUUUUUGUAGUUUCAUCAAUGUCAGAUAACUUCAACUUGUUGAGUACUAUCUAGAGCAUCCUAAAACAUAUCUACAAGUUAUGUUGCAUCCUACUGCCAGGAGUGUUGUUUUGUGAGCAGUUUGCCACUUCAUGAUGCAUCAGGCAGGCAUCAAGGUUUAGACUGGAGCACAACGGAUAACAUGUAGUAAACUGAGAAGUCUAUGCACCCAAGUCAUGUUCUGAUUGAGCAGUGAGUGUAUGAAUAUGGAUUUGUCAAAUGUGUAAUUUGCUUUUUCUUCGGUCCUGUAUCCUAGUGCAAACAUUACUACCUCUGCCCUGCAAUACAAAGGAUUCUAGCUAGUUAUAUUUCAGGGUGGAGGUAGCAUUAUACUUCUGAUACUUCAGCUCUGCUUAUUAAUCUGCUGCUCCUGACUGCCCCUAAUCAUGUUGGUUGGUGUUUCUGUAAAGCUUCUUUUCAGGCUUUCUGUUUUCUUUA